UGGGGAAUAUUGGGCAAUGGGCGCAAGCCUGACCCAGCAACGCCGCGUGAAGGAAGAAGGCUUUCGGGUUGUAAACUUCUUUUCUGGGGGACGAAGAAAGUGACGGUACCCCAGGAAUAAGCCACGGCUAACUACGUGCCAGCAGCCGCGGUAAUACGUAGGUGGCAAGCGUUAUCCGGAUUUAUUGGGUGUAAAGGGCGUGUAGGCGGGAAUGCAAGUCAGAUGUGAAAACUAUGGGCUCAACCCAUAGCCUGCAUUUGAAACUGUAUUUCUUGAGUGCUGGAGAGGCAAUCGGAAUUCCGUGUGUAGCGGUGAAAUGCGUAGAUAUACGGAGGAACACCAGUGGCGAAGGCGGAUUGCUGGACAGUAACUGACGCUGAGGCGCGAAAGCGUGGGGAGCAAACAGGAUUAGAUACC
rnacentral:rRNA from 1 species